UGGAAUGAUCACUCCAUUGAAUAGAGUAUUC
rnacentral:piRNA from 1 species